CGUCAGAUUUUAUAUUCAGACCAAUCAAAGGACAGUAUUUUACCACAUCACAACAACUUAGAGUAACUGGGCCUCCCGUGAAAUUAAAUUAAAUCAUGGCCCAUAACCCUUAUAAAACCUAGCUGCCAAAAUCUCCUAAGCAUCAAUUAAAACGACGCUUUCCACUUCAUCUUCUACACCUCCAAUUCCUCAAAUCGUCGUUACAGACCCCAUUCCUGAUCAAUCAAUGAUGCUCUUUAAUCAUUUCUUCAUGGUUUCGUUCCAUCUCCCCUUCAUUCUCCUCUUAUAUAAAUCUCUACAUUUAAACCUAAAUCCAGACAAAAACGGAAAUCUCCACAGAAAGAUAUCACGCUAUAACCAUGAAGUAUACAAUACUUUGUGAUUUAUAUUGAUUACAUGAUUUGAUUUUUGAUUGCAUUUGUAUAUACAAAAUUGUUCUGUCAAUUAUUAUUGUUUGUUUCUGAUGUCUGUCGAUAUUGGGUUAUGCAAGUGUGUUCAGGAAGGAGAGGAAAAAAUUGAGUUACAUUAAGUUAUAUUAUCUAGCAAGCAAUCUGCAAAAGUGAAGUCAGCCCAUAUUAGGGUUGAGCUCCUCUUCUCUUCAUCUCCGCCAUUCGACCCCCGGCCUGAGUUUUAAAAGCGUUGAUUCGUCUUCUUCCAAACAAUCGAAGAGUAACCAGUUACGGAGUAACCAAGUUUCAUGUUUAAAUCUUCACUGAAUUCUGUUUAGGCUUAACGGCAGUGAAGGUUCCGAAAAUCUCAGAGAAAUUAAUCGUCGUCAGUAAUCGGUAUGUCUAUGAGGUUUAGCGUUGUUUGGCUCUCGAUUCAUCUUCUCUUAGGCGUUAAAACUUGCAUUGAUUCAUCGUCAUUAACUAUUUCGAUCCACUGAAAAACGAUCACUCAUUCAAUGACUCUUCCAAGCAUUGAAUCUCCACCUAUAAAAAACCGCAGCUCAGGCCUUUAAUGGCGGCGAAAGGAAAUCUUGGUGGCCGAAGAAGGAAGGUCAUCACUUGGCGGUGGUGGUGGUGGUCUGGGUUUGUUUGUGUAACGGGCGCCUGCACCUCCUGUCAAGUUCUCCGACGAGGGGCUAUAAACAACAUAAUCUGUUGCUCAUAUCAAACGUGUCACUGAAAUCUAAAUUGAGGUUUCCGCUUCCUUCUUUCACCUUUUGUCUAUGAUAAUGUUAUAUCAGUCAUAUAUGUGAAGUUGAAUUUGAUUUGGUUCUUGCUGACAAAGCAAGCCUUUAGACUAUAUCAAAUUAACUAUGCCAAAGUGUGCUAUGACAUGACUCUUACAAGGUAUAAACUUUACGUUUGAUUAGAGUUUCUUUUUCUUUUUGAGCAACUAUCAUGUUGCUUUCACAGGCCUCAGUGGUUGUUAACUCAACAAAAUGAAUGCCAUGGUGGAAAAAUCAUCUCUUAUUACUUGAUUCGUGCUCAGGUUUAUAUGUUUGCAGAGUUUGACAAUGAAACCGGUGAUGAUCAAUGCUUCUUCAGUAAGUCCACAGGUUAUGUUAACACUUGCGGUAAUUGCUUCAAAAGUUCUUCAAAGUAUGGAGAUGUCCAGAAAAUAGAACCAGUAAUGGUGUCAAAUGUUAAUUCGCCAGCAUAGGUCAGUAUCGUAGUAGGUUCUUCUUUUAAAGGAGCAGGUGUGGAGGACCCACUUGAGAGCAAUAUCCUACAUGUCAGCAGAAUCUACACAUCUUAGUUUAAGUAGUCCGAUUUCAAAUUCUUCGCACAAUAAAGUCAUACUUUUGAUUUGCUUAUUUGCUACUUUUUAUCAACUUGAUAAUGUCGCUGCGACUUUCCUGACGUUGAGGUACGAUCAUGAAAAGCAACAAAUUUUUGGUCUCUGGAUUCUCAAUGGUGCAUUUAUAAUAAUAGUAUUCAAUUUCAGAAUAUUAUUCAGAGACUGUCUCAGAUUUUUGAAGAAUGAUACAAUCAGUUUAUAGUUACAUGGUU